AGUGAACGCUGGCGGUAGGCCUAACACAUGCAAGUCGAACGGCAGCACAGUAAGAGCUUGCUCUUACGGGUGGCGAGUGGCGGACGGGUGAGGAAUACAUCGGAAUCUACUUUUUCGUGGGGGACAACGUAGGGAAACUUACGCUAAUACCGCAUACGACCUACGGGUGAAAGCAGGGGAUCUUCGGACCUUGCGCGAUUGAAUGAGCCGAUGUCGGAUUAGCUAGUUGGCGGGGUAAAGGCCCACCAAGGCGACGAUCCGUAGCUGGUCUGAGAGGAUGAUCAGCCACACGGGAACUGAGACACGGUCCAGACUCCUACGGGAGGCAGCAGUGGGGAAUAUUGGACAAUGGGCGCAAGCCUGAUCCAGCCAUACCGCGUGGGUGAAGAAGGCCUUCGGGUUGUAAAGCCCUUUUGUUGGGAAAGAAAAGCAGCAGGUUAAUACCCCGCUGUUCUGACGGUACCCAAAGAAUAAGCACCGGCUAACUUCGUG
rnacentral:rRNA from 1 species